AUGAAUCUCCCCCACUGUCCGGGCUUGCUGGUAGUUGAAGUCUUGAAACAGCUGGAGGCAGCCUGGUGUGGAAACACUGACUUAAAGUCUUGCAUGUCCUUCCUGUUGGCAAUUAAGUGGUACUACAAUUAGACAGAAAGAUGGAAACCUAACACCUCGCAGUUUGGAUAUUGUUCUCUUUGUCGUUUCUACCAUAGAAAUAUAUUAAUUUAUAUUUCUUUUUGAGGCUGCUCUUAUUUCUGUACAGUAUUUAGGAUGUUGGCAUCAAAUUGUCAGCAGGAUGUUUCCCUGUGUAAUCCAAGCCAGGCUGAUUAGUCGCAGGGAAUGUUUUCCUUUGUACUUGGCACAAGAGGAUAAGGGAAGGACACUUUCCCUUUAAGUAAGUCAUUAUUCGGAGAAGAUCAACUGACCAUAAGGAAGAAAACAAGGAAAUCAGGGUCAAGUAAUGAGGACACCUAACAAAACAUAAUCAAGGCCAAGACUAGGCCAAAUGUGAGACUGGUACUGGUAGAAGAUGACCGUGGCCAAGGCAACAUAGAACCAGCGACACUCAAAUCCCCAUCGAUAAUAUGUGUACUCUAACCACAAGAGUCAACAGGGGAGGCCGGAGAAGGACAAUACUGACUUAAAUUUGCCACGUGUAUACAUAGCAGUAACCUUUAAAAUUAUUGGAUCAAGACUCCUGCAUGGAAAAAGAAAUACAUCAUAAAACAUCUAUUUAUUUCUCGCCUACUAUGUACCUACCGUAGUUUCCAAGUGGAGUGAAAACAGCCAUUAUAAAUACCAGUCUUAUAUUUCCUGGGCUGUAAUGCAGACACCACAGUCAGCUGUCUGUCUUGGUGGCAAAAAGACCUUAGGUGGCAAAAAGGCAACUUUACAUUGAUGUGGAAUCAACAUGUGGUUAAACUAACCAUGCUCGGGCCUUGAUACAACCAGUCAAUGGUAAGCAGGGAUAAAUCCAGACAUUAUUUAGUAAUGUUGUGGAGGAGACCACCAUAAGGUAUCUAAGUAGUCUAUUUCAGGUGGCUUACAAUAUCACUAGACUUUUGGUUGAAAAAUAUCUAAAAAUGUAUAAAUAUUUGAAUGGCUUAUCAACAAGUUAUUCUCUAGCAAAAACUUAUGAGUCGGGGAUAUGUCUUAUUCAGCUCUGUAUACUGUUUUAAUGUGUGGUCCCCAAUUGACAAUAAAGUAA